rnacentral:rRNA from 1 species
CCCUUAGAUGUUCUGGGCCGCACGCGCGCUACACUGACGAAUGCAACGAGCUUAUAACCUUGGCCGAAAGGUCUGGGUAAUCUCCAAAUUUCGUCGUGAUGGGGAUAGAUUAUUGCAAUUAUUAAUCUUCAACGAGGAAUGCCUAGUAAGCGCAAGUCAUCAGCUUGCGUUGAUUACGUCCCUGCCCUUUGUACACACCGCCCGUCGCUCCUACCGAUUGAAUGGUCCGGUGAAGCGCUCGGACCGCGGCCUCUUGACGGUUCGCUGUCGAUUGGCUGUGGGAAGUUCGUUAAACCUUAUCAUUUAGAGGAAGGAGAANUCGUANCA